GGUUAUUAAACCGUGUUGAGCACUGAAGUUGGUUGCCAUUCUUUGCCACAGCUCAUUUGCUCUCUUCUGUCCAAAGAAAUACUAGAAGGUUAAAACUUAUCACAUAGGAGGGAUUAAUCACCCUCCCAAGUUAGAAAGCCGGAGUCAAAACUGGAUGGUCAUGGCACUUAAACUCAAUAGUUUAAAACCCAAUGGACUUCAGGAUGCCACAGCACCACUUAAAAUGGAAACUCCUGUCUGUAGAAACCCUUGAUAUGGGAAGCUGACUAUGGCUGGGUUCUUUUCUGAUUGCUUAGGGGCACCACUUUCAGAUAAAACAUAGACCUGAAUGGCAUCAUCCAGUAUCCAAGGAAACCAUCUUUACCCUUCGUAGAAGACCGGCAAGCGGAAAAACGUGACAGUAAGACUGAGUUAUGAACUUUGAAAAGUUGAGAACAAGUAACUACUUGUGCUGUGAAAGCAGGUCUCUCUGCUCUUGAUUAACUGUCUGCAAUAGGUCACUGGUGAGUCCUGUACACCCCGGCAACGAUUAUUGUAACAGACAGGCUGAGUAAAUCACCAAGGUUGGGUGGGGGACUCGCAGGGAUAAC